rnacentral:lncRNA from 1 species
AUUCUCCUUGAUUUUCUCUACAACAGGAUGAAGCUGUUUUGUCGGUGGUCAGGUACCCUGAAAGAGCGUCUGGGCUUCUUGAUGUGCUUGUAAGCAGAUGUGAUGAACAUGCGCUGUCCUUGUUUGUCUGCCCGCUAAUUGUGUGAGACGCUUCCAAGGACAGUUUCCUGGUCUCUCUCUGUGUAUCUUGGAUAGGAUCUCUCAAUGAGAAUAUUGAACCAGCUGUACUGUCAUUACCCAGGGGAGUGAUUCAGA